UGGGCGUAAAGGGCUCGCAGGCGGUUUCUUAAGUCUGAUGUGAAAGCCCCCGGCUCAACCGGGGAGGGUCAUUGGAAACUGGGAAACUUGAGUGCAGAAGAGGAGAGUGGAAUUCCACGUGUAGCGGUGAAAUGCGUAGAGAUGUGGAGGAACACCAGUGGCGAAGGCGACUCUCUGGUCUGUAACUGACGCUGAGGAGCGAAAGCGUGGGGAGCGAACAGGAUUAGAUACCCUGGUAGUCCACGCCGUAAACGAUGAGUGCUAAGUGUUAGGGGGUUUCCGCCCCUUAGUGCUGCAGCUAACGCAUUAAGCACUCCGCCUGGGGAGUACGGUCGCAAGACUGAAACUCAAAGGAAUUGACGGGGGCCCGCACAAGCGGUGGAGCAUGUGGUUUAAUUCAAAGCAACGCGAAGAACCUUACCAGGUCUUGACAUCCUCUGACAACCCUAGAGAUAGGGCUUUCCCUUCGGGGACAGAGUGACAGGUGGUGCAUGGUUGUCGUCAGCUCGUGUCGUGAGAUGUU
rnacentral:rRNA from 1 species